UUAUAAGCGGCCGCCGUAACUCUUUCAUCCUUUUCCUCGUGUGCCCUUGGAGCGGGUGAGGCCACCAUGGAGGCGGCACCGCGACCCCGCCGGCAGCGCCGGGACCCCGCCAGGGCUGUGGAAACCUCUCCCCGCAGAAAGAUGUCUUGAAGAAAAGAAGCCCGAUGUGACAAACAGGACAGGGAGCAGGUGGAGAGUGGCCCUGAUGUGGAGGUGAAGCCUGCGGGUCUCGUGCUGGUUGUUGAUGUCCACCCGCUGAUGUGACAGCUCUUCACAAAUCCUGUGGAGGGCACUCAGACAGCAGAGCAGGACAAGCUGCUGGGUGGCGCUGCUGGAAACAUCUCUGAGGCAGAGGGACUCCAACAAAACUCCUGAGCUUGAGGAUUUUGUGUAGACACAUUUUUCUGCCUGUUGCAAAGUGGUAACAGUUGAAGAGUUUUGUUUGUACAUUAAAAUAAUUUUUUUAAAA